rnacentral:rRNA from 1 species
GACGAACGCUGGCGGCGUGCUUAACACAUGCAAGUCGAACGGAAAGGCCCUGCUUUCGUGGGGUGCUCGAGUGGCGAACGGGUGAGUAACACGUGAGUAACCUGCCCUUGACUUUGGGAUAACUUCAGGAAACUGGGGCUAAUACCGGAUAGGAGCUCCUACUGCAUGGUGGGGGUUGGAAAGUUUCGGCGGUUGGGGAUGGACUCGCGGCUUAUCAGCUUGUUGGUGGGGUAGUGGCUUACCAAGGCUUUGACGGGUAGCCGGCCUGAGAGGGUGACCGGCCACAUUGGGACUGAGAUACGGCCCAGACUCCUACGGGAGGCAGCAGUGGGGAAUAUUGCACAAUGGGCGGAAGCCUGAUGCAGCAACGCCGCGUGCGGGAUGACGGCCUUCGGGUUGUAAACCGCUUUCGCCUGUGACGAAGCGUGAGUGACGGUAAUGGGUAAAGAAGCACCGGCUAACUACGUG